rnacentral:rRNA from 1 species
AUACGGAGGGUGCGAGCGUUGUUCGGAAUUAUUGGGCGUAAAGCGCGUGUAGGCGGUCUUUUAAGUCUGAUGUGAAAGCCCUGGGCUCAACCCAGGAAGUGCAUUGGAAACUGGGAGACUUGAAUACGGGAGAGGGUAGUGGAAUUCCUAGUGUAGGAGUGAAAUCCGUAGAUAUUAGGAGGAACACCGGUGGCGAAGGCGUCCAGCUGGAACGGACCUGACGGUGAGUAACGAAAGCCAGGGGCGC